GGGGAUUUAGCUCAGCGGCAAGCGCCUGCCUUGCAAGCAGGCAGUCAUGAGUUCAAUCCCUG
rnacentral:tRNA from 1 species